rnacentral:RNase_P_RNA from 1 species
CUGGCAACAGACCGGCACGGCAAACCCCACCUGGAGCAAGACCAAAUAGGGAUCCUUUGGCGCGGCCCGCGUUGGAUCCGGGUAGGUUGCUUGAGCGUUGCGGUGACGUAACGCCUAGAGGAAUGACUGUCCACGACAGAACCCGGCUUAUCGGCCGGCUCCGCCU